GUGCUCGCUUCGGUAGCACAUAUACUAAAAUUGGAAAGAUACAGAGAAGAUUAGCAUGGCCUCUGUGCAAAGAUGACAUGCAAACUCAUGAAGCGUUCCCUUUUUUU
rnacentral:snRNA from 1 species